GAUGAACGCUGGCGGCGUGCCUAAUACAUGCAAGUCGAGCGAACGGACGAGAAGCUUGCUUCUCUGAUGUUAGCGGCGGACGGGUGAGUAACACGUGGAUAACCUACCUAUAAGACUGGGAUAACUUCGGGAAACCGGAGCUAAUACCGGAUAAUAUUUUGAACCGCAUGGUUCAAAAGUGAAAGACGGUCUUGCUGUCACUUAUAGAUGGAUCCGCGCUGCAUUAGCUAGUUGGUAAGGUAACGGCUUACCAAGGCAACGAUGCAUAGCCGACCUGAGAGGGUGAUCGGCCACACUGGAACUGAGACCCGGUCCAGACUCCUACGGGAGGCAGCAGUGGGGAAUCUUCCGCAAUGGGCGAAAGCCUGACGGAGCAACGCCGCGUGAGUGAUGAAGGUCUUCGGAUCGUAAAACUCUGUUAUUAGGGAAGAACAUAUGUGUAAGUAACUGUGCACAUCUUGACGGUACCUAAUCAGAAAGCCACGGCUACCUACGU
rnacentral:rRNA from 1 species